rnacentral:rRNA from 1 species
UACGAAGGGGGCUAGCGUUGCUCGGAAUCACUGGGCGUAAAGCGCACGUAGGCGGCUUUCUAAGUCAGGGGUGAAAUCCUGGAGCUCAACUCCAGAACUGCCUUUGAUACUGGAGAGCUUGAGUCCGGAAGAGGUGAGUGGAACUCCGAGUGUAGAGGUGAAAUUCGUAGAUAUUCGGAAGAACACCAGUGGCGAAGGCGGCUCACUGGUCCGGAACUGACGCUGAGGAGCGAAAGCGUGGGAGCAAACAGGG